ACCCCCCAGCCGUGCCGGGGGGGUGUUUGCCUUGAGCCCGUGUUUGCUUUGAGCCCGUGUUUGCUUUGAGCCCAGCUCAGCGCAGCCCGGCACAAGCCGCCGUGAUUGACUCGCGGAUCAAUUAAAGCAGCGCGCGGACAGAUGGAGGGCUCGGAUCCGGAGUUUCCCCCCCGAUCUCCUCCUCUCUCGCUCUCCAGGGGCCUCUCAGGUUAAUUGCCCUGAUCUCUCUCUGCCUUUUUGCGCCGGCCCUCAAGGACUGCCUGGCAAAUCCUGCCCUCCCGAAUCCGGGCCGCGAGCAGGAGGAGGAGGAGGAGGAGGAGGAGGGAGAAUUGAUUUGCUCCAUCAGGCAGCAGCAGCAGUUGCUGCCACUGUUUAAUUCUCAGUUCAAGCCCCGUGGAGAAUGCAAACGGCUCCGCUGCUCGGCCAAUUUACAGCUCUGACAAGCUGCUAAACAACGUCUUUGUCAGCGCCCGGCGGCCCCGGGCUCGCCGCGGGUGGCGGGGGAGGCGCAGAGCUCCUGGCGGGAAAAACUUCCGUGGGUGUCCUCGGUGUGUUCAAGGAAACCAUCCAAGCAGCAAAGGAGGGAAUGGACAUUUUUUAGUUGCCGAGCCCUCAGAUCUCCGAGCCAUCAAAUCCCCGCCUGAGCUUCACCGCUCGGCAAGAAACGAUGGAGAGGACGGGAAAAAAAAGGGAUGAAAGUGAGGAAAUCGCUCCUGGAGCUGCUCACCUCUGCCUCAACCCCGCCGCUUUCAUGUCGCGCGGAUUUGUUUUGAUCGCUCUGAGCCGGGCUUGGUUUGAGUCCCGUUCCUGGGAUUCAUGGAAAUGAGGAGCCGCUAAUGAGCGCGGCUGCGGCUGCGGGAGCGGCGGAUCCGGGGUGCGGGAUUUGGGAUUUGGGGUGCAGGAUGAGUGAUUUGGGAUGUGAGAUGUGGGAUUUGGGAUUCGGGGUGCAGGAUUUGGGGUGCAGGAUGAGUGAUUUGGGAUGAGUGAUUUGGGAUGUGAGAUGUGGGAUUUGGGAUUUGGGGUGCAGGAUGAGUGAUUUGGUGUGCAGGAUUUGGGAUUUGGGGUGCAGGAUGAAUAAUUUGGGAUGUGAGAUGUGGGAUUUGGGAUUUGGGGUGCAGGAUUUGGGGUGAUGGAUUUGGGAUUUGGGGUGCAGGAUUUGGGAUUUGGGGUGCAGGAUGAGUAAUUUGGGAUGUAAGAUGUGGAAUGUGGGAUUUGGAGUGAAGGAUUUGGGGUGAUGGAUUUGGGAUAUGGGGUGUGGGGUGAGGAUGUGGGAUUUGGGGUGAGAAAUUUGGGAUGUGGGAUGCAGGAUUUGGGGUGUGGGAUGAGGAUGUGGGAUUUGGGAUCAGGGACUUGGGGUGAGGGAUUUGGGAUUUGGGGUGUGGGAUGAGGAUGUGGGAUCUGGGAUCAGGGAUUUGGGGUGAGGGAUUUGGGAUUUGAGGUGCAGGAUGAGUGAUUUGGGAUGUGGGAUGCAGGAUUUGAGGUGCGAGAUGCAGGAUUUGGAGUGAGGGAUUUGGGAUUUGGGGUGAGGGAUAUGGGGUGCAAGAUUUGGGAUUUGGGGUGUGAGAUUUGGGAUUUGGGAUGGGGAUGAGGGUAUUGGGAUGCAGGAUUUGGAGUGAGGGAUGCAGAGUGUGGGAUGUGGGAUUUGGGAUGCAGGGUGCAGGAUAUGGGAUGUGGGAUUUAGGAUGUGAGAUUCGGGAUGUAGGGUUUGGGAUGAGGGAUGCAGGAUUUGGGAUACAUUAUUUGGGUGUGUGAUUUGGGAUUUGGGAUGUGGGAUUUGGGAUUUGGGAUACUGUGCCCAACCCCAAAAUGCCACAACCCCAAAGCUGUGCCAACAGGACCCUCAGAAACCAGGGCAGACACCAGAACUGCAGGAAAUCCCAUGGGAACCCCAUCAAAACUGCAUUUUUAUCAAGGUAUUUCACGUUUUGAUGUAAAUUUUAGACUUUUUUCUUUAAUAUCCUGAUUCUAAUGGGAAAAUGGUGAAAAUCCCAUUCCUAUGACUGAAGUUUUAGGGGAAAAAAAAGAGAAAAACUCAAGUUUUAUAGAAAAAAAGAGGAAAACUCAAGUUUUAUGGGGGAAAAAAUGCACCUAAUUUGGAGUUUGUUGGAAUUAUUUUCCCCAAGGACGCUGUCCCACAUUAAAUAGGAAUUAAAUUCAGUUUUUGCUUGGUGUGUUAUUUCUAACAGAAAUGCAUUUUUACCAUUUUUAGGGGUUUUUUUUCCCCUUUCCUAUUCUAAAUAAUUCCCUGGCUCCUUGACUGUCAAUGCACCCAAAUGGAAAGAAAAGCUGAUUUCCAUCCACUUAAAUCCACCUAAAAUGAGCCCAUUAGGAGCCACCUUCAUCCGGUGUUUAUUUUGAGGAGAAAAAACUCAAUUUGGGGCAUCUCCCACUGCUGAAAAUUCACAUUUUGGGCUUGCCCAGCUCUGCUGUCCUUUUGUCCCAAAGCUGUUUUUUUUUUCACGGCAGAUGUUUUCAAUUUCUCCCCAAUUUGUUGGAAUUGUCAUUCCUGCCAAAAAAGAGGUCGGGAAAACUCAAUUUUCCCCGGGAAAAUUAAUAAAAUCUGUUCUCAUGCAACCUGUUCAUUAAGCUGCGAAAUGAGAGGUAAUUAAAAAUAAAAUUAAAAUCUGGGGGCUUCUCCCAGAUUUCACCUUUCCAAAUUGUGGGUGCAGGAAUUUUUUUGGGGCCAAAAAGCAAAAAGUCCAAUCUGGCAGCUGGGAGCAUUUCCAGCUUCCAAGAAAUACCUGGGAGAGGAGCUGGUGCUUUGUCUGGCACGGACAGGAGAAAUCCGGCUGUAAAAAUUGAAUUUUUUUCCUGGAAUGUCAUCAAUUUUGGUUCCUUUCUCACAGGAUUUGUCUAGCACGGACAGGAGAAAUCAGGCAGUAAAAAAUAAUUAUUUUUUUUCCCUGGAAUGGCGUCAUUUUGUCGUCAUUUUUGCCGCCAUAUUUGGCUCCUCUUUCCUGGGAUUUUAGGAUGAAGCUGCGAUGGGAAUUCGGGGUUUUUAUUUGGGUUUUGGGUGAGGAAUUGGGGCUGGGGAGGAGGGGACAUCCCGGGGACUUUGCAGCUCGAGGGCGUCACCUGAGGAAUGACCUGAGGACUUUGGGAAUUUGUUUUCCCAUGAGGAAGUGGCAAAUGGAAAAGGCGGAUUUGGGCAAUAACCUCGGUGUCUGGUUUGGUUUUUAUUUCCUUUUGGUUAAAGCUGUUGAGAGGCA